UGCGUAGGGGAACCAAGCUAGUUCUUACCGCGGUGCUACAACAAGCAUAACAUCUAACACCGGGUAAAAACUAGCUCGGGUCCCCCUU
rnacentral:pre_miRNA from 13 species